rnacentral:snRNA from 1 species
AUUGCUUCUCGGCCUUUUGGCUAAGAUCAAGUGUAGAAGUGAAUUAUUAAGUGGUCUUCCAAUUUAGAAUAUUUCAAUUGGCUUAACAAUGAAAUGUGUCUCUUAUUUGUGGCACAUGGUGAAGUUAAUAUUUCAUUUUAAUGUAAACCUUCACCCUUAUC